ACAGAGGGGGCAAGCGUUAUUCGGAAUUAUUGGGCGUAAAGGGCGCGUAGGCGGUGUCUUAAGUGAGAUGUGUAAUCCCCGAGCUUAACUUGGGAACUGCAUCCCAGACUGGGGCGCUAGAGUACUGGAGAGGGAGGUGGAAUUCCAAGUGUAGCGGUGGAAUGCGUAGAUAUGUGGAGGAAUACCAGUGGCGAAGGCGGCCACCUGGACAAUAACUGACGCUGAGACGCGAAAGUGUGGGGAGCAAACAG
rnacentral:rRNA from 1 species